rnacentral:misc_RNA from 1 species
AAAAGAAGAAGAAGAAGAGCACAUGAAUCAAUGGCUGUUCAACUAUUUGGUCUGCGGUAUGAAAUCUAUGAAGCCAAAAUCUAAGAAGGACAUAAAAUGUAGCCUGAAAUACGAUUUUCUUGAAGGUUAAGGUUUGUCUAAGCCUGUAUGUAUGUGGAUUGAAUAUGGAAUUGAUCAUUCAUUGCCCAUUACAUGCUACAACCUAAGAGAUAAAGCGAGCAGGAAAAUGAACACUAAUU